GCCACUAUAGCUCAAUGGUAGAGCGCUGUGCCUGUACACAUGGCUCGGAGGUUUCCGGUUCAAGUCCGGGUAGUGGCACCA
rnacentral:tRNA from 1 species